UGGACAUGGAACUUCUGGCUCAGCUUCCUUGGAGAGGAAUGUAGUUCAAGUACACCAAAACCACUGUGAGGACCAAAGCAAAGCAUGAUAACAUCAAGAAGGAUUUGGUGGCAUUUACUGAGGCUGAUGAAUCUGACUGAAAUUUCCAUGCUGGAUUGUGU